AUUCGAGACGGGCGGGGCGGUUCGGGGCGGCCGGGGGCGGGGCUCGGGAGCCCCCCUUCUCUGGUCCGGGAAGUCCAUACUCUGGAAGGUGUUCCAGGGCUGCGUGAUUCCGGGAGUGUGCUUUCUCUUUCAGGUGUGGGGAAGUCAUGUCUCCUCCUGCAGUUUACAGAUAAGCGGUUCCAGCCUGUCCACGACCUCACAAUAGGUGUGGAGUUUGGAGCUCGUAUGGUCAACAUUGAUGGAAAACAAAUCAAACUGCAAAUCUGGGAUACGAUAAAGAAAUGGGAACAGAAAGAUUAAUAUGGUGUGUUCAAUAUCAUAUUUGGGAUUGAAAAAAAUGACAUACACUCCGUUUCCAGUCCUAUUUCCAGUUGUUCUUUUAUGAGGAUAUUGGGAAAUGUAUGCAAAUGUCUUCAUCGUCUUUAUCGUGCUGACUGGGGUGCCACAGGCUGGGCAAGAAUCCUUCCGUUCUAUCACCCGUUCCUACUACAGGGGAGCAGCUGGAGCACUGCUGGUGUACGACAUUACAAGGCGUGAAACCUUCAACCACCUGACCUCAUGGUUAGAGGAUGCCCGGCAGCACUCUAGUUCCAACAUGGUUAUCAUGCUCAUUGGGAAUAAGAG
rnacentral:lncRNA from 1 species